UGAGUACGAGCGGCUACGGCCGCGAAGUGGAUGAUGUCAAGCUUCCAAGAAAAGCCCUAUACCCGUUAAGGCAUGAUGGCCUGUACCCGAAACCGACACAGGUGGGGUGGUAGAGAAUACCGAGGGGCGCGAGGUAACUCUCUCUAAGGAACUCGGCAAAAUGGCCCCGUAACUUCGGGAGAAGGGGUGCCACCGCGAGGUGGUCGCAGUGAAGAGGCCCAGGCGACUGUUUACCAAAAACACAGGUCUCCGCUAAGUCGCAAGACGAUGUAUGGGGGCUGACGCCUGCCCAGUGCCGGAAGGUUAAGGAAGCUGGUCAGCGCAAGCGAAGCUGGCGACUGAAGCCCCGGUGAACGGCGGCCGUAACUAUAACGGUCCUAAGGUAGCGAAAUUCCUUGUCGGGUAAGUUCCGACCCGCACGAAAGGCGUAACGAUCUGGGCGCUGUCUCGGAGAGAGGCUCGGUGAAAUAGAAUUGUCUGUGAAGAUGCGGACUACGUGCACCCGGACAGAAAGACCCUAUGAAGCUUUACUGUAGCUUGGUAUUGUGCUCGGGCUCGGAAUGCGCAGGAUAGGUGGGAGGCUUUGAUCCAUUGCUUGCGGGUGAUGGUGAGCCACUGGUGAGAUACCACUCUUUCCGAGCUAGAGUUCUAACAGCAACCCGUUAUCCGGGUGCUGGACAGUAUCAGGUGGGCAGUUUGACUGGGGCGGUCGCCUCCUAAAAGGUAACGGAGGCGCGCAAAGGUCUGCUCAGGCUGGUUGGAAAUCAGCCGACGAGUGUAAAAGCAGAAGCAGGCUUGACUGUGAGACCUACAAGUCGAACAGGGAGGAAACUCGGCUUUAGUGAUCCGACGGUUCUGCGUGGAAGGGCCGUCGCUCAACGGAUAAAAGUUACUCUAAGGAUAACAGGCUGAUCUCCCCCAAGAGUUCACAUCGACGGGGAGGUUUGGCACCUCGAUGUCGGCUCAUCGCAACCUGGGGCUGAAGUCGGUCCCAAGGGUUGGGCUGUUCGCCCAUUAAAGCGGUACGCGAGCUGGGUUCAGAACGUCGUGAGACAGUUCGGUCCAUAUCCGGUGCACGCGCAGGAAUAUUGAGAGGAUUUCUCCCUAGUACGAGAGGACCGGGAGGAACGCACCUCUGGUGUGCCAGUUAUCGUGCCAACGGUAAACGCUGGGUAGCCAUGUGCGGAGUGGAUAACCGCUGAAAGCAUCUAAGUGGGAAGCCCACCUCAAGAUGAGUAUUCCCAUGGCAUAAGCCAGUAAGGUCACGGGAAGAACACCCGUUGAUAGGCUCUACGUGGAAGCGCAGUAAUGUGUGAAGCGGAGGAGUACUAAUAGACCGAGGGCUUGACC
rnacentral:rRNA from 1 species